rnacentral:rRNA from 1 species
AAUCAACGCUGGCGGCGUGCCUAACACAUGCAAGUCGAACGAGAAAGGGGCUUCGGCCCUGAGUAAAGUGGCGCACGGGUGAGUAACACGUGACUAACCUACCCUGGAGUGGGGAAUAACUUCGAGAAAUCGAGGCUAAUACCGCAUAACACCUACGGGUCAAAGGAGCAAUUCGCUUCAGGAGGGGGUCGCGGCAGAUUAGUUAGUUGGCAGGGUAAUGGCCUACCAAGACAGUGAUCUGUAUCCGGCCUGAGAGGGCGAACGGACACACUGGAACUGAAACACGGUCCAGACUCCUACGGGAGGCAGCAGUGGGGAAUUUUGCGCAAUGGGGGAAACCCUGACGCAGCAACGCCGCGUGGAGGAUGAAGUCUCUUGGGACGUAAACUCCUUUCGACCGGGACGAUAAUGACGGUACCGGAAGAAGAAGCCCCGGCUAACUUCGUGCCAGCCGCCGCCGUAACAC